CAGCCCCGCCGGUUCCGGUCUGUGUUCAUCGCGCUAACCAGCUGACGUUGAUACACUUUAAACAUGAAUCAAGACCGCAGACAUUGAAAAACGGUCCAUUUUCAUAGGCAGGAGAAAACCUACGCCGAGCACUGGUGUGUCCCCCACUGUACAGCGUCAGCCAAAUUCAACGGGGUAUUAAGUUUCCAUGGCUUUCCGAGCCAAACUGACGUGAGGAGUCAAUGGAUUCCAACUACUCUUCAGGGUCGAAGGAGACUUACAAAAGGUGCCGUACCGACCCUUUUUGAGUGGAACCAGUAUACAGUCGAAACCCCAAGGCGCGGCGUGUGGGAGAGAGUGGAUCGGUUCGUCGAACCUGCCCCUCCGGAAGAUGAAGUUGAUCUCCUUUUCAACGAUCAAGACUACUGCUCUGUCCCUGAACCGGCUGCCAUGGAUAUGUCCGCAUCCGCUAAUGAAAGCGUCUCAAAUGAAGUAGAGGAGCUGAGAAAGGAGCUACAGGAGUUACGUCUGCAGCGAGAGUUUGGACUGCAACGGUUUGCUGGCUCCGACGCAGACAUACGCUUUUACACAAGGGAAGUCACUACAAUUUUUUGUAUUAGCCUAUGAUAUUAGCCUAGUCCCUACGUGACGGGGAUAUGUGUCAGGCAGGGACAUUAUUGGUUAGAAAAUAGCUUUACAUUACAGAUUAAUUUAUAGUACUGUACCAAAUUAUUUCUUAAUAGGUCUAUGUGAAUGAUAAAUAGCACUCAAGUAGUGUCAUGUUGAGAGAUGGUGGAAUUGGAGUUGGAGAUGUCCAUGUCUUAUCAGAAUUUAUAUAUAUGAAUGUGACCGCACCAAUAGUACAGAGACAAACAACAUUUAUAAUACAGAUUUGUUUAAAGACUUACAGAGACGUGUUUCCAGGUCAAGUCUACAAAAGUUUAUUUUUAAAUAGUUGAAAAUAGUCCUAAGUUAUUAUUCUAUGAGAUGAAAAUAGGAGCACUGAAGCGACAGCGCCAGAACGUGACCGUCUCCAACUCCACCAAUGCUGGUCCUAGAACAAAAAUACUAUUAAUAAACAAUUGUAAACAUUUAUGAAUUGAGCAGGUAACACCCUACUUAUCUGCAUGCAAGUACACGGCAAACCACCAAACAGCGCCUCCCAAAGAUACGGCCCGGACAGGAACACUACUCUAAAGAGAGAGCACAGAGACCACAUUAGGGCAUUGGAUAUCCAGACACAUCAGGUCGUCUUACAGGAAGUUGGGGCAGUUAUUGAACUGCACCCAAAGAGGAAACUAAACAAACCUUUCGCUCAGAGUGCCAGGGAUUAGUUAUGGUGCCAUCCGGGUAGAGCAACCAUUGGGUAGUGGCACAAGUCACAAUACAGGUUAAAGGGAGGUGACUGAGGCUGAAACAGGUAUAUGGGAGAAAUACAGGUCACCCUGCUACAUAUACUGUACAUAUAUAUAUAUAUAUAUAUAUAAAAUCGUAAUCUUAGUAGUUACUGUUGACAUUAUUUUGGUAACAAUGUAUCCUUGUGAUGUACUUUUAAUUGAACUUUUUUAUUUGAUGUCUUUUGUGAAUAGAUUUGCCAGCUACGACCACCUGAUGGCUUUUUGGUCUUUGAUUGAGCCUUGUCUCUACAAGAUGGUCCGUGUCUCAAAAGCCAAAUCAGCUGCCCAGAAAAAAAGAAGUGGUCACAUCUGCACGUGCAACAUAGUACUUUAUAAGUAGUUACAGAUGUAAUUAUAAGUGAUGCCAUUACAUUUGUUCUUUGAGCUAUAAUAUUUUUUUCCUCUCAGAGACAGCUGCUCCAGCCCAUAGAUUAACUUUAUUUUUUCAUAACUGGUGAUGAAUCACAAAGGCUUUAUCUAAGAGAAAAAGGUAAAUCAUUAGAAAUAUAACCUCAGCAUCAUGGGUGUAAAAAACAACUUGGUUCUUAUGAAGGUAAGUACUUGAA